GCGAGAGCCAGGCCCAGUCACAGCCAGCUAACGGAGUCACAGUGCCUAGAACAGUAAGAUUCACUCAGAGGCUGCAUGGGAGCAGAAUGACCAGAGAGCAGCCUAGGCAAAGUGAAGUCUUGGGGUAGAGGCCAGAGUACGAAGAGCCGAGGGCUGAUUUGAGAGUUGGCAGGGGCAGGAGCAGGGGAACAGAGUGAAGAAGGAAGCCCAAAAGAACCAUUAGGAUGCACUUCAGUCCAGUGAGAAGGGCCUUUCUGGGCUCAGAAUGAGCAGGUCUGGCCCAGACCCAGACCCUCUCGGAGUCAACCUGGUUGGUUGCCCUGUCUGCUUGGCUCUUGCAGAUACUCAGGUAUAACAUAUGAACCCGACUGUGGUGAAGUCUGGCAUGCACAGCGUGUCUUGUGUGAGACACAGAGCUGGAUACUGGAUACUGUUUAAGAGAUGAAGG
rnacentral:lncRNA from 1 species